CCCUUUUGCAGUGAAGGUUUCGAUUCUGCUGCGACCGAGGGGAAUUUCGCACAACUCUCUGCAUUCACCCUCCCUCCUCACUUGUGCAUUGACAGUGAGGUUGUUUUGCGUGCGCCACGCUCAGUUCCCAGCGAACAUUACUGCUUCGCAAGCAAGAGCAAGUCCUCUCCCGUCAGACACCGUGGCCCCAAAUCAUCCCCUGUGAAUGGAGUUACACACCAAGGAUGAAUUUGUACCACAGGAAGUAACUACAUCAGGUUUACUACAUGAA
rnacentral:lncRNA from 1 species